rnacentral:rRNA from 1 species
UGGGGAAUAUUGCACAAUGGGGGAAACCCUGAUGCAGCAACGCCGCGUGAGUGAAGAAGCAUUUCGGUGCGUAAAGCUCUGUCAGCGGGGAAGAAAGAAGACGGUACCCGACCAAGAAGCCCCGGCUAACUACGUGCC